GACAAACGCUAGCGGCGUGUAUUAGGCAUGCAAGUCGCACGGUCACCUCGCAAGAGGUGGCAGUGGCGGACGGGUGAGUAACACGUGGGUAACCUGCCUCGCAGUGGGGAAUAACUCGCCGAAAGGCGAGCUAAUACCGCAUACCACUCUCGGUGAGAAUCCGAGCAGUAAAAGUAGCAAUGCGCUGUGAGAGGGGCCCGCGGCCGAUUAGCUUGUUGGUGGGGUAACGGCCUACCAAGGCGACGAUCGGUAGCUGGUCUGAGAGGAUGGUCAGCCACACGGGGACUGAGAUACGGCCCCGACUCCUACGGGAGGCAGCAGCUAAGAAUCUUGCGCAAUGAGCGAAAGCUUGACGCAGCAACGCCGCGUGGAGGACGAAGGCCCUCGGGUCUAAACUCCUUUUGUGAGGGAAGAAGAUCUGACGGUACCUCACGAAU
rnacentral:rRNA from 1 species